AGCUAAAGCACUUGAGGUAUGACCUUAAGGAAUCCUGUGUCAAUUAGUGUGAUGGUGACAGAUGACUGGGCAGAGUACGAAGCUUUAGGGGGCAGAAAAGGCAGCAAAGAUGAGGAGCUAUUGGCCCAAAGGACAUGAGCAGUGUCACUUUACCCAGCCACCCUUCCCUUUUCUUUAUCUGAAAUCUUUAAACAAAGAUCUAAGAAGUGGAAGCAGCCUUGGAGAGGAAGGCACUUUGAGGAGUUAUGUCUGCCAGGUGCCACAGAAACUAAAACUGUGCUUCAAACUUUCUGGGUGGGACUCACUGAUAGGAUGGCAGGUGACAGUGGGCAACUGACCACAAGGGGCGGAGUUAGAAAAGAAAUGUCAUUCUUGACUAAGAUGGUUGGAAAAUGGGUCAUAUCCAUAGUGAAGGGCACAAAGAAACCAAGAUGAUCGAACUAUGGACAAAUGGCUCUGAGUGCUGGGGCAGGGUUAGAAAAACUGGCAGGUUCAGGGGCAAACUCUUCAUUGGAGAAGCUGAAAGUGCUCAUAACUUUGGGGGACAUUUGGGGGGUUUCCAUGGUGACCAUAAGCCGCUACUCAUGCCUCUAUAAAUUCCUCUCAAAGGUUUGCUUGGAGAACACUAUUGCCGCAUCACGAUCAGGGGAAGGAAAAGCUUCUCGUUUUGAUGGGCCUGAGAGUUCAAACUCUUUUUCUUCCAGGUCAAAGUCAGCCCAGGACAGAAACUUCAUUAGCUGUCCUUCAGCUCUGAGAAGAAUCCCCGGAGGACUCAAUAUUUAUAGCUCGGGAUGCAUAGAGCUUCUCCAGAGGGAACGCACUGGGUAAUUUCAAGUCUCUGAGGCCUUUCUCCUUUCUGUCAGGCCACUAGAACACAGUGAAACUUGUCAGAGACACAUGAUGAUGUGUACUGAGGACAGAUAUGCCGAUCGGAGCAGAGGAGAGCGUGGGUUUAUACCAAGUGCAUUCGGCUUUGAUUUCUGCCGCUCCCCUAUCUGCUGACAGAACCUGAAACAAGAGACAAUCUUUCUUCAGCAAGCUGUGACAAUUUCGUAGCUUCACAGAUUCCAGGAAGAAGAAUUGUGACUCCUCCUAGGGCUGUUGAGAAGACGUGAUUCUGAAUAUAUCUGAGACAAAGACCACUUGCUCUUCCGAGCCGCUGCGAGACAGAGCCAGUGAUGAGGAGCGAAUGCUUGAUGAGGUCUCCUGGGCUCAGAUCAGGUCUUGGGUCCCUGUGUUCAGGGCAGAGGCUUCCCCAGAAAGGACAGGAGAGACACUGACAACUGGAGUUGGGGAGGAUGCAGGGAUAGAAGAAAAAAAGGCAAGCAAAAUGAGGAGUGGGUGGGCAAAGCCUCCUUCCUAGAGUCCUUCCUUUAAAAUUUCCCAUGGUCUGAAACACCGAAGAGUGUUUCGUGUACCCAGACCCUUCAUAAAUCCCAACAAAGAGCCCUGGAUCCCAGAGAUGGCAGGAGGCAAAGAUUUGGGCUUUAAAAGGUGGUAACUGGUGAUAGAGGAAAGCCAUUGGCAGUGCUGUGGUCCCUCAGUUGGUGUUCCGAACAGUGCAGUUUCUAUGGUGUAGAGUAGAUAAUUACUAUAUCAAAUGCUACUAUGCUCUCUUAGCCCGUAUGAGAUGCGUAGGAGUCUGAUUCCGAUCAAACCAGGACUGCAGGAACACAGUGCCCUUGGGGAGGAACUGAUAGUUCAGAGGUGUUGGUGUUUCCUGAGAGAGGGACCACUGAGAAACAGACCCCACAGAGAUUCCUCAUAUCCUCUUAUCAUGCCCUGACUUGGGCAGUCUUAUGUACCUUGUACGUGCAUUAGUGUAAG